rnacentral:rRNA from 1 species
AUUGAACGCUGGCGGCAUGCCUUACACAUGCAAGUCGAACGGUAACAGGUCUUCGGAUGCUGACGAGUGGCGAACGGGUGAGUAAUACAUCGGAACGUGCCUAGUAGUGGGGGAUAACUACUCGAAAGAGUGGCUAAUACCGCAUGAGAUCUACGGAUGAAAGCAGGGGAUCGCAAGAACUUGUGCUACUAGAGCGGCCGGUGGCAGAUUAGGUAGUUGGUGGGGUAAAAGCCUACUAAGCCGAGGAUCUGUAGCUGGUCUGAGAGGACGAUCAGCCACACUGGGACGGAGACACGGCCCAGACUCCUACGGGAGGCAGCAGUGGGGAAUUUUGGACAAUGGGCGCAAGCCUGAUCCAGCAAUGCCGCGUGAAGGAUGAAGGCCUUCGGGUUGUAAACUGCUUUUGUACGGAACGAAAAGCCCUGGGUUAAUACCCUGGGGUCAUGACGGUACCGUAAGAAUAAGCACCGGCUAACUACGUGCCAGCCGCCGCGGUAAUAC